UACGGGGGGGGCAAGCGUUGUUCGGAAUUACUGGGCGUAAAGGGCUCGUAGGCGGCCAACUAAGUCCGACGUGAAAUCCCAAAGCUUAACUUUGGAACUGCGUCGGAUACUGGAUGGCUUGAAUUCGGGAGAGGGAUGCAGAAUUCCAGGUGUAGCGGUGAAAUGCGUAGAUAUCUGGAGGAACACCGGUGGCGAAGGCGGCAUCCUGGACCGGUAUUGACGCUGAGGCGCGAAAGCCAGGGGAGCAAACGGG
rnacentral:rRNA from 1 species